rnacentral:piRNA from 1 species
UCACUAUGCUGCAUCUGAGUCGACUCCCUC